UUCAGAGCCACUGACACGCCGACAGCACAAUGAUGAUGUCACUGACUCUACUGCUGGCCACCCUGGGGCUCCUUGUUCAGGGUUCAUCAGGAGAAAUCGUCCUGACUCAGUCUCCUGGAUCUCAGUCUGUUCUUCCAGGACAGUCUGUCUCCAUCACAUGUAGAUCCAGUUCAAGUAUCAGUAACUACCUCCACUGGUACCUUCAGAAACCUGGAGAAGCUCCUAAACUCCUCAUUCGUUAUGCUACAACUCGUCAUUCUGGAGUUUCUGAUCGUUUCAGUGGAAGUGGAUCUGGAUCUGACUACACUUUGACCAUCAGUAGAGUUCAGAAUGAAGAUUCAGGAGUUUAUUAUUGUUCUCAGAGUGGUCACAGCUUCCCGUUCACACAGUGAAAACCCGUCGUACAAAAACCUCCCUAAGCUGAAGAGGAACUGAUCAACAGCUGCAAUGAAACCAAACCAACAGAGGUUUGAAAAAUACAAUAUGAAUCAUAAAAUAACACAAACCUCAUCGUAUUUUAAAUAUUUUUUUUACAACAUUUUUAAUGUUGUUAUCGACAUAUUAAGUCUAGU